UACGUAGGGGGCAAGCGUUGUCCGGAAUGAUUGGGCGUAAAGCGUCCGCAGGUGGCUAUGUAAGUCUGCUGUUAAAGAGUGAGGCUCAACCUCAUAAGAGCAGUGGAAACUACAUGGCUAGAGUGCGUUCGGGGCAGAGGGAAUUCCUGGUGUAGCGGUGAAAUGCGUAGAUAUCAGGAAGAACACCGGUGGCGAAAGCGCUCUGCUAGGCCGCAACUGACACUGAGGGACGAAAGCUAGGGGAGCGAAUGGG
rnacentral:rRNA from 1 species